GUGCUAACGUCCGGACUCAAAAGGGAAACAACCCAGACCGCCGGCUAAGGUCCCAAAUAACAGCUAAGUGGAAAACGAAGUGGAAAGGCCGUGACAACCAGGAAGUUGGCUUAGAAGCAGCCAUCCUUCAAAGAAAGCGUAAUAGCUCACUGGUCGAGUCCUUCUGCGCGGAAGAUGUAACGGGGCUAAGCUGUUAACCGAAGCCGCGGAUGCACUGAUUAUUCAGUGCGUGGUAGGGGAGCGUUCUGUAAGUCUGCGAAGGCGGUUCGAGAGGACUGCUGGAGAUAUCAGAAGUGCGAAUGCUGACAUGAGUAACGUUAAAGCAGGUGAAAAGCCUGCUCGCCGUAAGCCCAAGGAUUCCUGCUCUACGUUCAUCGGAGCAGGGUGAGUCGGCUCCUAAGGUCAGGCCGAAAGGCGUAGCCGAUGGGAAUCAGGUUAAUAUUCCUGAACCUGCGUCAGAUGCGAUGGGGGGACGGAGCAUGAAAGAUCAUCCGGGUGUUGGAUGUCCCGGUUGACGAGCGUAGGAGGUCUGCAGGCAAAUCCGCAGACGCAUCUCCAAGGCAAAGACACGUGCCGCCACGGCGGCGAAGUGAUCGGAAGUGCUUCCAAGAAAAGCCUCUAAGCACCAGUCUGACGCGGACCGUACCGCAAACCGACACUGGUGGGCGAGCUGAAUAUGCUCAGGCGCUUGAGAGAACUCGGGAGAAGGAACUCGGCAAAUUGACACCGUAACUUCGGAAGAAGGUGUGCCGUAGUACCGUGAGAGGAGAGACACCUUGAGCGGGAAACGGUCUCAGAGAAUAGGUGGCUGCGACUGUUUAUUAAAAACACAGCACUCUGCAAAGUCGAAAGACGACGUAUAGGGUGUGAUGCCUGCCCGGUGCUGGAAGAUUAAUUGAUGGGGUGAGAGCCCUUGAUCGAAGUCCCAGUAAACGGCGGCCGUAACUAUAACGGUCCUAAGGUAGCGAAAUUCCUUGUCGGGUAAGUUCCGACCUGCACGAAUGGCAUAACGAUGGCCACACUGUCUCCUCCCGAGACUCAGUGAAGUUGAAAUGUUUGUGAUGAUGCAAUCUACCCGCGGCUAGACGGAAAGACCCCAUGAACCUUUACUGCAGCUUUGCAUUGAACUGUGAACCGAUUUGUGUAGGAUAGGUGGGAGGCAGAGAAGAGGCCACGCCAGUGGUCUUGGAGCCGACCUUGAAAUACCACCCUGAUUUGUUUGCGGUUCUAACCACGGACAGUGAUCCUGUCUUGGGACCGUGCAUGGUAGGCAGUUUGACUGGGGCGGUCUCCUCCUAAAGGGUAACGGAGGAGUACGAAGGUACGCUAGGUACGGUCGGAAAUCGUGCUGAUAGUGCAAUGGCAAAAGCGUGCUUGACUGCGAGAGCAACAACUCGAGCAGAUGCGAAAGCAGGUCAUAGUGAUCCGGUGGCUCUGAAUGGAAGGGCCAUCGCUCAACGGAUAAAAGGUACUCUGGGGAUAACAGGCUGAUACCGCCCAAGAGUUCAUAUCGACGGCGGUGUUUGGCACCUCGAUGUCGGCUCAUCUCAUCCUGGGGCUGUAGUCGGUCCCAAGGGUAUGGCUGUUCGCCAUUUAAAGAGGUACGUGAGCUGGGUUUAAAACGUCGUGAGACAGUUUGGUCCCUAUCUGCCGUGGGCGUUGGAAGAUUGACGGGGGCUGCUCCUAGUACGAGAGGACCGGAGUGGACGCACCUCUGGUGUACCGGUUGUCACGCCAGUGGCAUUGCCGGGUAGCUAAGUGCGGAAGAGAUAACCGCUGAAAGCAUCUAAGCGGGAAACUUGCCUGAAGAUGAGUCUUCCCGGAGGUAAAACCUCCCUCAAGAGUCGUCCGAGACCAGGACGUCGAUAGGUCAGGUGUGUAAGCGCUGUAAGGCGUUGAGCUAACUGAUACUAAUUGCUCGUGAGGCUUGAUCCU
rnacentral:rRNA from 1 species